rnacentral:rRNA from 1 species
AUUGAACGCUGGCGGCAGGCUUAACACAUGCAAGUCGAGCGGGGUGAUGGUGCUUGCACUAUCACUUAGCGGCGGACGGGUGAGUAAUGCUUAGGAAUCUGCCUAUUAGUGGGGGACAACAUCUCUAAAGGGAUGCUAAUACCGCAUACGUCCUACGCGAGAAAGCAGGGGAUCACUUGUGCCCUUGCGCUAAGAGAUGAGCCUAAGUCGGAUUAGCUAGUUGGUGGGGUAAAGGCCUACCAAGGCGACGAUCUGUAGCGGGUCUGAGAGGAUGAGCCGCCACACUGGGACUGAGACACGGCCCAGACUCCUACGGGAGGCAGAAGUGGGGAAUAUUGGACAAUGGGGGGAACCCUGAUCCAGCCAUGCCGCGUGUGUGAAGAAGGCCUUAUGGUUGUAAAGCACUUUAAGCGAGGAGGAGGCUCUUUUGGUUAAUACCCAAGAUGAGUGGACGUUACUCGCAGAAUAAGCACCGGCUAACUCUGUGCCAGCCGCCGCCGUAA